rnacentral:lncRNA from 1 species
GACGUCAAUAUUAAAAGCGUGGGGGAAGUCAAACAUCAGUCGCACACGCGUUAUGGUAUAACCUUGCUCAAGGAUGUAUCUACUAUAUGGAUGACGACUUCAAAACGUGCAACUCAGAGUGUGGCCUACCGUGCAUUCAAUAAUAUAAACUUUAGAACUAUUAAAAUAAGGGAUACUUCAAAUAGACAAUAAAGGAGAUAACCCUCCCUAGUGCUGUUGUCUGGGUGAGGUAUUGAGGUCUGGAGCAUAC